GGUGGGAUGGCGAAAUGGCAUCGCGUUGCUUUCCGGUGGCAAAGAUUGUGGGUUCGAGUCCCAUUCUCAUCG